GAUCAUGGCUCAGAUUGAACGCUGGCGGCAUGCUUUACACAUGCAAGUCGAACGGUAACAGGUCUUCGGAUGCUGACGAGUGGCGAACGGGUGAGUAAUACAUCGGAACGUGCCUAGUAGUGGGGGAUAACUACUCGAAAGAGUAGCUAAUACCGCAUGAGAUCUACGGAUGAAAGCAGGGGACCUUCGGGCCUUGUGCUACUAGAGCGGCUGAUGGCAGAUUAGGUAG
rnacentral:rRNA from 1 species